CUCAAGGACAGCCAAAGCAAAAGACUUCAUUAAGAAGGGAAUCAAGUUUAUCCAUGAAAUCAAGAAGAAACUGGAAUGGUUACCACUGGAACAGGAGCAGUGGAAGAAUGAAAUAAUGUGGCCAGAGUAUUAGAGCUUCUGCUUCAGAAACAGUCCUUGCAAUGAAUAUCCAGGGCUGAUUUCCUUUAGGAUUGACUGGUUUGAUCUCCUUGCUGUCCAACGGAUUCUCAAGAGUCUUCUCCAACACCACAGUUCGAAAGCAUCACUUCUUCGGCAUUCAGCUUUUUUUUUUUAAUUUAUUUUUUUAAUUGAAAGACAAUUGCUUUACAGAAUUUUGUUGUUUUCUGU
ensembl:lncRNA